GGUCCCGUGCGACUCAGUUGGUCGAGCAUGGUGUUUGCAACGCCAGGGUUGUGGGUUCGAUUCCCACGGGGGACCA
rnacentral:tRNA from 1 species